CCAGCAUUUCCACAUGCCAGCUUGUUCUCCCAACCUCUUGAAUUUCAUCCCAAAGCCUGAAUUGAGAGCUUUCUGCGACAGAUUCAGGAGAAUCUUCCUGCUACUUUGGACAGCUCCAGCUUAGCCUUGUGCCAGGUGAACAUCACUGCAGCUUUUGGCACAGAGGAGCCAAGGCAUAAAAGGACAGCCUUGUCAGAUCUUGAAGUUGGAGAAUUAUCCUGAGAGAGAGUUGGCCUGGAUCUUUUGGCUUCGUGUAUAACUAAGAAACUAUCCAACUGCUGUUUCCAUCUGAGAGAUAGAUGGGUCUGGAACCAAAUCCACAAUAUCUCCAAGAGGCCUUCUGAGAAACUUGGAGGUGAGCAUCACUGUGUUUGGCUUUGCUGCACACUUUCUCCUGCUGAAAUGAGAAAACAAAGAGUUGAGGCUGACUGCAUACUCCAGGAGAGAGAAACCUAAAUUCGGAUGUCUGCCCUCCACCAGAUUCUGUAAUUCUCACACAACAGCUUCAGGUUGCAGUUCACCAUGGAUAAUUGAAAUCACAAAGGCGAAAUCAUGGAUAAGGCAGGACUACUCUAUCAGCGUGGCUGGUGUGGCAUCAGUAGAGCGAAGAGUAGUAGGAAAUGAGGGCAUGUAAGAAGGCCUCAUUGGCCAUAUAAGUUGUGUUUCAGGAAAGAAGAAAUGAAAAGCCCAGGAGGGAAUAAUCACUCUGACCCUGUGACUGAAUUCAUUCUUCUCGGAUUCCCUUGUACCUGGGAGACUCAGAUCCUCCCCUUCUCACUCUUCUCUGUGAUCUAUUUCCUGACGUACCACCCAGGAGCACUCAAGGCAAAAGAAUAAAUGCACUGAAACAGAACAGAGAGUGAAAUGGGGGGUGUUGCCUCAGGAACUGAAGCUGAGUGAACGUAGUGGGACUUUGGUCUGGAGUCCACAUGCUGCUGGCUGAAGCAGCCGCUGAAGAACCUUCAUCAGCAAAAUCUGGAAAGAACUUGGGUGAUAGAUCUUAUCCCCAAAACUAAAAUUGGUUCAGAAUCAAUAUACUGAAUGCAUACCUAAUACUUCAAGGACAAAAUACCACAUACAUAAAAUAUACAAAUACACAAGUAAAAUUGUCAUGUCUUGUAUUUCCUAUAAAUGUUCUCG
rnacentral:lncRNA from 1 species